GUCUCAAUUCCACAUCCUAAGCUAACCUUACCCCGCGAAGUAAGUUACGCACAUCCUCUGCAGUCGUUACUUUUUAAGGACGUCAAUUUCAGAAAUUACUGUGUGACAGCAAUGAAUUCGUCAGCCAAUCGCAAGCCUAUGGAAACGAUGAAAUUCUGAAGUACCCAAGUACUUCAUUUGUGAAGAUUAGAGAGAAUAUUCGAAAGGAACAAGUUACGGACGGCUACUGCACAGAUGGGAGAUGUGAGAAGUUGGUGUCUGAGAUUGAACUCGGACAAAGUUACUGAACGAAGGAAAGCUUGUGACCAUUUAAAGCACCUUCUCAAAGAUGAACAAGU